AAAAAGAGUAUCAUUAUAUCCUUGAAUCUGAUUUGAGAAUUCGAUGCACUCUCACGUUUUCCCACAGAACCUACGGCUGUCACAAUACUUCUACUCCGACAUGUUCAUCGGCUCCGUCACACACCCAGCGUCUGGGUAUGCAGCGGUGGUUGCCGCACUCAAACUGGGCGGCCGAGCAAAACUUAUCUGGACGGGUCGGAAAGAAUUCGUGAAGUGCAAAGUCCAGCUCAUGGGGAUACAGCGGCCGCUAGGACAAGCGAAGUAGGGCGUGGGACAGCUUGUCUUCCCGCUCCCUGGCACACAGACAGACAAGUGGUUCCUGCUCUAACCCAUCUGUUAGAUGACUACAAGUUCCUCUUCUCCUCAAACCCACUGUCUGUACAUGUAUCAAAGAGAAGGCAUGGGCUUGUCAGAGGGUGUUCAAAUACCUGGGCAGUUCCUUUCGUCGGAGAGGUCUCCACAGUCGUUGGCUCCGUCACACUGCCACGAAGAGGCAAAGCACAGAGUGGUGAACUCGCACUUCUGAAACGUGGCUCCCUUCACUCCCAGACGGAAGUAGCUUGAGCAGUCCGUGGCAGCUUGACAAAGAGAGCAGAGACACUUUAGCACCAGGGAGCGAGUGGAGGCGUCUCUGAUUACUGUUCUGACGUCCACUGAACGUACUGCAGUUCAUCUCAUCACUGGCGUCCUCGCAGUCCACCUUCUGGUUACACUUGCUGGAGUUGGAGAUGCAGCCCCCGUCUCUGCACUGGAACUGAUCGGCUGAGCACAGCGUGGCUGAGACACACACGCACACGCACACGCACACACACACACACACACACACACACACACA